UACGUAGGGGGGCAAGCGUUGUCCGGAAUUAUUGGGCGUGAAAGAGCGUGGUAGGCGGUCCGGUAAGUCGGGCUGUGAAAGAUCAAAAGGCUCAACCUUUGAAAGCCGAUGGGAUACUGCAGGGCUGGAGUCCGGAAGAGGCGAGUGGAAUUCCUGGUGUAGCGGUGGAAUGCGCAGAUAGUCAGGAGGAACACCAAUAGCGGAAGGCAGCUCGCUGGGACGGUGACUGACGCUAAGGCGCCGAAAGCGUGGGGAGCGAACAGG
rnacentral:rRNA from 1 species